rnacentral:rRNA from 1 species
AACGAACGCUGGCGGCAUGCCUAAUACAUGCAACUCGAACGAGAUCUUCGGAUCUAGUGGCGCACGGGUGCGUAACGCGUGGGAAUCUGCCCUUGGGUUCGGAAUAACUUCUGGAAACGGAAGCUAAUACCGGAUGAUGACGUAAGUCCAAAGAUUUAUCGCCCAAGGAUGAGCCCGCGUAGGAUUAGGUAGUUGGUGAGGUAAAGGCUCACCAAGCCGACGAUCCUUAGCUGGUCUGAGAGGAUGAUCAGCCACACUGGGACUGAGACACGGCCCAGACUCCUACGGGAGGCAGCAGUAGGGAAUAUUGGACAAUGGGCGAAAGCCUGAUCCAGCAAUGCCGCGUGAGUGAUGAAGGCCUUAGGGUUGUAAAGCUCUUUUACCCGGGAUGAUAAUGACAGUACCGGGAGAAUAAGCUCCGGCUAACUCCGUG